CGGGGGGGGCAAGCGUUGUUCGGAAUUACUGGGCGUAAAGGGCCAGUAGGCGGCCAACUAAGUCGGAUGUGAAAUCCCCAGGCUCAACCUGGGAACUGCAUCCGAUACUGGAUGGCUUGAAUUCGGGAGAGGGAUGCAGAAUUCCAGGUGUAGCGGUGAAAUGCGUAGAUAUCUGGAGGAAUACCGGUGGCGAAGGCGGCAUCCUGGACCGACAUUGACGCUGAACGGCGAAAGCUAGGGGAGCAAACGGGAUUAGAUACCCCGGUAGUCCUAGCCCCAAACGAUGAAUGCUUGGUGUAACGGGUAUCGAUCCCUGUUGUGCCGAAGCUAACGCAUUAAGCAUUCCGCCUGGGGAGUACGGUCGCAAGGCUG
rnacentral:rRNA from 1 species